rnacentral:rRNA from 1 species
GACGAACGCUGGCGGCGUGCUUAACACAUGCAAGUCGAACGAUGAAGCUAGAGCUUGCUCUGGUGAAUUAGUGGCGAACGGGUGAGUAACACGUGAGUAACCUGCCCCGAACUCUGGGAUAACUGCUGGAAACGGUAGCUAAUACUGGAUACGACCUACGAAGGCAUCUUCUGUAGGUGGAAAGGAUUUCGGUUCGGGAUGGACUCGCGGCCUAUCAGCUUGUUGGUGAGGUAAUGGCUCACCAAGGCGACGACGGGUAGCCGGCCUGAGAGGGUGACCGGCCACACUGGGACUGAGACACGGCCCAGACUCCUACGGGAGGCAGCAGUGGGGAAUAUUGCACAAUGGGCGCAAGCCUGAUGCAGCAACGCCGCGUGAGGGAUGACGGCCUUCGGGUUGUAAACCUCUUUUAGUAGGGAAGAAGCGAAAGUGACGAUACCUGCAGAAAAAGCACCGGCUAACUACGUGCCAGCCGCCGCAGUAA